GAAAAUUGAUAAAACUUUCAACAACGGAUCUCUUGGCUCUGGCAUCGAUGAAGAACGCAGCGAAAUGCGAUAAGUAAUGUGAAUUGCAGAAUUUAGUGAAUCAUCGAAUCUUUGAACGCACAUUGCGCCCCUUGGUAUUCCGAGGGGCAUGCCUGUUCGAGCGU
rnacentral:rRNA from 1 species